GACAAACGGAUCAAGUUAAGAUUUGUGCAGUAAAAAGGGGGUUAUAAAUAGUAACGAAUUGAAUAGAAAUAUUAUGUUUCCUAGGAAGGUUAAAUUUGAAUAGGAAUAAUUAAUUUUUUGAUUUCUUAGUUUUUGAGGCCCCGAAAUUUUAGUAUAAGACCGGGAUUAGAUACCCCGUUAUUUGAAUGUUAAAUUUUAAUUUAGUUAUGUAAUGAUUUACUUGAGUAUUACGAGUGCGGAUAAAUGGCUAUAGCGAUAGCUAUUUAUUUGUUUUUCUUAAAACUCAAAGAACUUGGCGGUGCUUUAAGUCCUUCCAGGGGAACCUGUCCUAUAAUUGAUAGUCCACAAUUUAACUUUCCUUUUAUUGAAAAUGUUUGUUAAUGUUUCAGUUUGUAUACCGUCGUCGUCAGAUUACCUUUAAGAGUAAUGGAGUUAUCGGAGAGAAAAGAAGUAGUUAAGAUAAUUUUAAAAAUGACUUUAUUGUAUGUAUUUAUUUCUGAACGUCAGAUCAAGGUGCAGCUAAUGAAGAGGUAGAGAUGGGUUACAAUAGUUAAUUACUAUACGAAUUUUUUGCUGUAAUAGUAGAUUGAAGGAGGACUUGGAAGUAAUUUAUGAGAGUAAGAGAGCUCUAAUGAAUAGUGGCUCUAAAGCGUGC
rnacentral:rRNA from 1 species